CCUCAGUACGGCGAGUGAAGCGGCAACAGCUCAAAUUUGAAAUCUGGCCCUCGGGUCCGAGUUGUAAUUUGUAGAGGAUGUUUUGGGUACCGCCGCGGUUUAAAUUUCUUGGAACAGAAUGUCAAAGAGGGUGAGAAUCCCGUCUGGAACUGCGGUAGGGCCUAUGUAAAACUCCUUCGACGAGUCGAGUUGUUUGGGAAUGCAGCUCAAAAUGGGUGGUAAAUUUCAUCUAAAGCUAAAUAUUGGCCAGAGACCGAUAGCGCACAAGUAGAGUGAUCGAAAGAUGAAAAGCACUUUGAAAAGAGAGUUAAACAGUAUGUGAAAUUGUUGAAAGGGAAGCGCUUGCAACCAGACUUGUGUGUGGCGGUUCCCCCUUGCUUCUGCUUGGGCUACUCCGUCAUAUCCAGGCCAACAUCGGUUCUAGGGGUCGGUUAAAGGCCCUGGGAAUGUAUCUACCUCUGGGUAGACUUAUAGCCCAGGGUGUCAUGCGGCCUCCCGGGACCGAGGAACGCGCCUCGGCGAGGAUGUUGGCGUAAUGGUUGUCAGCGACCCGUCUUGAAACACGGACCAAGGAGUCUAACAUCUAUGCGAGUGUUUGGGUGUCAAACCCGUACGCGAAAUGAAAGUGAACGGAGGUAGGAAGCCUUUAGGCUGCACUAUCGACCGAUCCUGAUAUUUAUGGAUGGAUUUGAGUAAGAGCAUAGCUGUUGGGACCCGAAAGAUGGUGAACUAUGCCUGAAUAGGGUGAAGCCAGAGGAAACUCUGGUGGAGGCUCGCAGCGGUUCUGACGUGCAAAUCGAUCGUCAAAUUUGGGUAUAGGGUAAGUUCUUAUUUUCAUUCUUUGU
rnacentral:rRNA from 1 species